rnacentral:rRNA from 1 species
AUUGAACGCUGGCGGCAGGCUUAACACAUGCAAGUCGAGCGGAGAUGAGGUGCUUGCACCUUAUCUUAGCGGCGGACGGGUGAGUAAUGCUUAGGAAUCUGCCUAUUAGUGGGGGACAACAUUCCGAAAGGAAUGCUAAUACCGCAUACGUCCUACGGGAGAAAGCAGGGGAUCUUCGGACCUUGCGCUAAUAGAUGAGCCUAAGUCGGAUUAGCUAGUUGGUGGGGUAAAGGCCUACCAAGGAGACGAUCUGUAGAGGGUCUGAGAGGAUGAUCCGCGACACUGGGACUGAGACAAGGCCCAGGCUCCUCCGGGAGGCAGCCGUGGGGAAUAUUGAGCAAUGGGGGAACCCUGAUCCAGCCAUGCCGCGUGUGUGAAGAAGGCCUUAUGGUUGUAAAGCACUUUAAGCGAGGAGGAGGCUACUGAGACUAAUACUCUUGGAUAGUGGACGUUACUCGCAGAAUAAGCACCGGCUAACUCUGUGCCAGCCGCCGCCGUAA